UGAAGAGUUUGAUCAUGGCUCAGAUUGAACGCUGGCGGCAGGCCUAACACAUGCAAGUCGAACGGUAACAGGAAGCAGCUUGCUGCUUUGCUGACGAGUGGCGGACGGGUGAGUAAUGUCUGGGAAACUGCCUGAUGGAGGGGGAUAACUACUGGAAACGGUGGCUAAUACCGCAUAACGUCGCAAGACCAAAGAGGGGGACCUUCGGGCCUCUUGCCAUCAGAUGUGCCCAGAUGGGAUUAGCUUGUUGGUGAGGUAACGGCUCACCAAGGCGACGAUCCCUAGCUGGUCUGAGAGGAUGACCAGCCACACUGGAACUGAGACACGGUCCAGACUCCUACGGGAGGCAGCAGUGGGGAAUAUUGCACAAUGGGCGCAAGCCUGAUGCAGCCAUGCCGCGUGUAUGAAGAAGGCCUUCGGGUUGUAAAGUACUUUCAGCGGGGAGGAAGGUGUUGUGGUUAAUAACCGCAGCAAUUGACGUUACCCGCAGAAGAAGCACCGGCUAACUCCGUGCCAGCAGCCGCGGUAAUACGGAGGGUGCAAGCGUUAAUCGGAAUUACUGGGCGUAAAGCGCACGCAGGCGGUCUGUCAAGUCGGA
rnacentral:rRNA from 1 species